UGUUGGUGGGGUAACGGCUCACCAAGGCGACGAUCCCUAGCUGGUCUGAGAGGAUGACCAGCCACACUGGAACUGAGACACGGUCCAGACUCCUACGGGAGGCAGCAGUGGGGAAUAUUGCACAAUGGGCGCAAGCCUGAUGCAGCCAUGCCGCGUGUAUGAAGAAGGCCUUCGGGUUGUAAAGUACUUUCAGCGGGGAGGAAGGGAGUAAAGUUAAUACCUUUGCUCAUUGACGUUACCCGCAGAAGAAGCACCGGCUAACUCCGUGCCAGCAGCCGCGGUAAUACGGAGGGUGCAAGCGUUAACCGGAAUUACUGGGCGUAAAGCGCACGCAGGCGGUUUGUUAAGUCAGAUGUGAAAUCCCCGGGUUCAACCUGGGAACUGCAUCUGAUACUGGCAAGCUUGAGUCUCGUAGAGGGGGGUAGAAUUCCAGGUGUAGCGGUGAAAUGCGUAGAGAUCUGGAGGAAUACCGGUGGCGAAGGCGGCCCCCUGGACGAAGACUGACGCUCAGGUGCGAAAGCGUGGGGAGCAAACAGGAUUAGAUACCCUGGUAGUCCACGCCGUAAACGAUGUCGACUUGGAGGUUGUGCCCUUGAGGCGUGGCUUCCGGAGCUAACGCGUUAAGUCGACCGCCUGGGGAGUACGGCCGCAAGGUUAAAACUCAAAUGAAUUGACGGGGGCCCGCACAAGCGGUGGAGCAUGUGGUUUAAUUCGAUGCAACGCGAAGAACCUUACCUGGUCUUGACAUCCACGGAAGUUUUCAGAGAUGAGAAUGUGCCUUCGGGAACCGUGAGACAGGUGCUGCAUGGCUGUCGUCAGCUCGUGUUGUGAAAUGUUGGGUUAAGUCCCGCAACGAGCGCAACCCUUAUCCUUUGUUGCCAGCGGUCCGGCCGGGAACUCAAAGGAGACUGCCAGUGAUAAACUGGAGGAAGGUGGGGAUGACGUCAA
rnacentral:rRNA from 1 species